AUCAUUACAGAAAAAGCUGGACCUCAGAAGACAGCAGAAAAAGAAAGUUAAAAGGUAGAACUUAUUCCAACACGAUGUUUGUACCUUCGGAAAGUGAUAUUGCAGAUAGUACAACAAAGCGGAACUGCAGCAGAAAGCACCGCCGAGACUCCUAAAAUUGUCGGAGUGAAUUUUGAAGCAGGAAAUUCGAACAAUGUGAGCAGCGAAACAAUGCACAAUCUCUUCAAAUUUAUUCCAAGUGAAAACCAGUAUUAUACAGCAGCGGAUAUGAGUAGGUGAAGUAAGAGACAACGUUUAAAGAGGAGCACUCGUCGGAAUCCCAUGUUCCGGCGUGAAUGUCGCCGGAAUUUGAGGCACUACAGAGAUAGAUAUAUGAGUAGUACUAGCUUUGCUUUUGGCUCGCAGUGAGCAUUCGUUUUUUUCG
rnacentral:lncRNA from 1 species